CUGAAUAAUUUGAGAGAGAGAGAGAGAGAUGGCAUCUGUUGCUUUGACUUCUCUCAGUGCAACAAUGAAGUUGGAGUUUCUGCAACCCAAUAAUCCAAGGGUUCCUCUUGAUGAUGAAGCAUCCAUAUCAAUCAAUUCUUUGUUUGAAAAGAUUUCAUCUUUGCAAGCUUUUGUGCACGAGAAAUCUGGGGGUGGCCCUGCAACCAGAGAUUUGGAGAUGGAGAUCAGAGACUUCGCACUGGAAGCCGAAGAUCAAAUCGAAAUACAACUAAGCAACUUUCUUCUGGCCAAGAACGCAGAGGACCAACAAAAAGCUUCUCAGCAACUCCACCACAUCUUGAGAGAAGCGGCAGAAAACGCAGCAGAGUUGCUGAAACAUAGUAGCAGCAUAAGCAAAGAAGCAGUGAAGAAUGAAAGUGAAGGAGCACUGAUUCCUUGGAUAAAACAUUCUCCGGUGAUGCUUGAGGGGGGCACAAUGGUGGGUCGUCAACGUGAUCAUAUGCUGAUAGUGGAUAAACUCAUCGCCUAUGAAUACGGGGAAUUUAGAUUCAAAGUAAUCACAAUUCUUGGUAUGACCGGUAUAGGAAAAACAACUUUAGCUACAAGUGUCUAUAAUAAUCCAAAGGUUGCAUUACACUUCGAUGUACGAGGUUGGGUUACCAUGACUGGGGAAUACAACAAGACCCAAACACUACACGACCUUCUUUGGACACUAACAAAGGAGACAAACAUUCCUGAUGAUGAUGAUGUAGCAGCUAGGCAGGUAUACAACUUCUUGAGAGGUAAGAGGUUUCUAAUUGUUUUGGAUAACUUAUGCAACACUCAAGCUUGGUAUGAUAUAAGAGGAUAUCUUCCUGUUGGAGAUCAUAAUGGAAGUCGCCUAGUGCAAACCACUACGCAUUUAAGGAGGGAUUCUGGUGAGGAAUAUUGCCACCCAAGUUUCUAUGUCCAUCACAUGUCUUUGCUAAAUUCAGAAGAAAGUUGGGAAUUAUUUAGCAAUAACCCUUUUUUGGAACUACAUAUGGCAUCUAAAUUUAAAAAAAUUAGGAGCCAAAUUGUAGAGACAUGUGAAGGAUUGCCGCACUCAAUACUUGUAGUUGCAGAACGUCUAUCUAAGUGUGACAACAUAAAACAAGAAUGGAAGAAGGUUCAAAAGGAAAUAGAGUUGCUUGGGGUUCUAGAUAGCAACGCACUCACCCUCACUUACAAUCAAUUGCUAGAACAUUUAAAAGUUUGCUUUCUAUAUUUUGGAGUCUUUCCAAAACGUAGUGCAAUCAAAGUGAAACUACUUAUUAGGUUAUGGAUUGCUGAGGGAUUUAUUAAGCCAUUGGAGUGUAAGGAGUUAGAAAGUCGAGCUUAUGAGUAUUUACAAGAGUUCAUUGAUAGAAGUCUUAUUCUAUUUGACAAUUGGAGUUCUUCUGGAAAAAUUAAGAAUUGUAGGAUGCAUAGUGCCUUGCAUAGCUUUUGCGUAAGAGAAGCUCAGAAAGAGGGCAUUUUAUGUGCUUUAAAUACUCGGCAACUUCCACUAGGGCCAUUUAGCAUGUUUGCAAAUUCAUGCCGCUGGUUAAGUUUAUACACACAUAAAUUUGACUAUUAUGUGUUGUUUAAAACAAACAACCCUCGUUCCAUUUUCUUCUUUCAAGAAGAUGCUGAAAUAUUUGUAUCUUUCAAGUUGCUUAGAGUUUUGGCUUUUGUUCCAUCUUCAUUUCUUCAAGGAGUGCCAACACGCUUACAGGAUUUAGUUUUUUUGAGAUACCUAUCUGUAUCUGAAUGGUUUGAGGGUCUUGAGUACGUAGUGUCAACCAAUCGAAACUUGCAGACACUAGUUGUUUCUAGUAAAGAAUCCCAACUUGGAACACCUACUAUUCAUUUGCCUUCAACAAUUUGGGAGUCACCGCAGUUACAACAUCUUAAACUUGACAAAUCGUAUGUGAUUGAUCCUCCAAGCAUGGAUAAAGAUAAUAUGCUAACAUUAUCUUGGGUGUGUCCAACUCAUUGCAGAACAAGAGUAUAUUGCAGGUUUCCGAACAUUAAAAAUUUGAAAAUAUUUGUAUCCCGCAACAAUCCAAUUAUUUUGGAUAAUCUUGAAUAUUUGAAACGACUUGAGAGGCUAGCAAUUUCAGUUUCGUUAGACGAUGUUGUAACCCUUCCAAAAUCAUAUGUAUUUCCUUCACAACUAAAGAAGUUGAGCUUGAAUGGUAUUAACCUUUCGAAUAGCUAUUUAACGGUAAUUGGCAUGUUACCUAAGCUUGAAUUUCUCAAGUUGAAAAAUGUGUUUCAUGGGAAAGUAUGGGAAGUAGAAGCAAGAGGAUUUCCUAAAUUACAAUUCUUGCUUCUCGAAGAUAAAACGCUCAAGCGAUGGAGAGCUGAUGAAUAUUCGUUUCUUUGGCUUGAGCGCUUAGUCCUAAGAUUUUGUUAUUGUUUGGAAAGUAUCCCUCAUACUAUGGAACAUAUUUGGUUCUUGAAGUCAAUUGAGUUCCAGCAGUGUUGUCCUUCCGUUGUCAAUUCUGCAGAGGAUCUCCAACGUAAAAGAAACAGACUAGGCCAAGCUUUUGAGAUCAUAAUCGUGGGACCUGAAUAUGAUGAUGAACCAGAUGUAGACACACUGAAGUGUCUAUGUAUGCCUUCAAUGCUGAAAGACAAGCUAAGGGAAUAUUUGGGAAGAAUACUUCAAGUUGAAUAAUCAAAUACAAGGAAGAGUACAAUGGAGCAAAGAUGAUGACCACUACUAUGAAACUAAUCUAGAUUUCGAACAUGCAUGCCACACACAUACGAGUAUUGGUUACUAACUAUUUCUAGUUGCUUGGUUGGCGAAUAGUACUUUUGAAUUAGCGGCGAUCCUACGCCACCGCCGCUUCUAGUGUCGCCGGCGUGAAUCAAGAGACCACUCCGGUCGCACAAUCUCCAGCCACACAGUCUCCAGUCAUGCGAUUCCCUACUCGUGUUGGUCCAGAGUUAGUUCCGCAGAGGAACUCGAUCAACCGUGUUCGCGCAUCGCCCAGCAAUCCACAGAGGAUUAUUGUUACGCAGAGUAACAACAAUGCCGACGCACCAGUCUGAUUAGCAUCACCAAGGAUUUCGCAGAGGAAUCUGAGUUCGGAGCAGCGGACUUCCAUAGCCGAUCCGCAGCGGAAGGCGAUCCACGGAGUUUGUCCGUUGUUCCCGGUCAUUCAAUCACCAGUUCAGGUUCAGAUGACCUCCACAGCCGUUCCGCAGCGGAAGGAAGGAGUUCUUAGCCAAAAACAGAUGGAACAAUCCUCCGAUUCAGCCACAGCGGUUGUGUCUUUCGAUCCGAAAUUCGUUCGGAGAGAAACAGAGAAGAGCAUCACCGGAGUUGGAGCAGAGGAAGCGGCGUUGCUGGAGACAGAACUCAAGGACGCCGUUUCUCUGUCUCGCCGUCGCCUUCGAGCCAAUGCCGCCACCGGUGAGGAGACGGCGCCGGGAGUGGAGCCGCAGAAGAUGUGGCGGGAGAUAACAGCUCAGAAUUUGUUGAAAGUUUUUAACAAUUUUAAGUUCGUUUUGAACGAGCAUUCAAUUCGUGACUUGAUUGUGGCUGCCGAUGCUAAUGCAUCUAAAUUGAGCUGAAACAUUGCUGCAGAGUGCAGUGUCGUUUUUUAUAAGGAGUCUAAGCAGGUUUCCUAUGAUGUUAUUAGGGAUGAGAAUGGAAACGUUAAAUUUGAUUGCUCAGCUAUUGGUAAGCAGUUUACUGCUGAAAAAAUAUCUUCUCAGGUCGUGAGAAAGCUUGUGGAUGAUGCAUCCAAGUUUUUGAUUGACAAAGUUUCCAAAGUUGUAGUCACAGUUCUGGUACAUGGACGGUCAAUAGUGGAAUCCACUUUAGGGCGUUCUGCAAGGCCUGGUAAUGGGACCAUUGAGGAUGGUAAUGGAGUCAAGUGUAAUAUGGAUGAUAUACCAUCAUCAGAGGGUGGUGAGAAUUACCGAGCUGCUGCUUUGGCAAAUGAAGGAUUUGUAAAAGGUUCUAGAAUUAAUGGAUAUAAUGAGGUUUCUGUGGAUCCAUCUAAAAAUGAAAAGGAAGAGGGUGAGUUAUCACCAAAUGGUGAUUUUGAAGAUGGUGGAGAUGCUGAUGAUGAGGAUAGCGAUAAUGCAUUUGUGGCUAGUGAUGAUGUUUCUGGCAGUGAAUCUGCUGCAGACGAGUGCUCAAGAGAAGAGCCUGAAGAAGAGGAAGAUGCAGAACAAGAUGAAGUUGAUGGAAAAACAUAGAGUGAAGGUGAGGCUGAGGGCACAAAUGAUGCACAUUUCGUUGGAGAUGGCUCAUCAUUGCCCUUAGCCGACCGUUGUUUGCUUGCUUCAAAGCCUUUAACAAAGCAUGUGGUGGCUGCACCUGCACCAUGUAAGGGUGCAAAGAAGUGUCUGCGUGUCUUUUAUGGAAAUGACUCGUUUUAUGUGUUUUUUAGACUUCACCAAAUACUGUAUGAGAGGCUAUUGUUGGCAAAGCUCAACUCAUCAUCACCUGAUUCAAAGUGUAAAGCUGGAAAACCUGCUGACAUUUUUCCUCCGGAGGGACAAGAAGGUUUCUGCUGGUGUGCUUGUUUUUGCAACUGCUAUCUGGGAUUGAAAUCAAUACAGAUUUAGCUAGACUUCGAGACAUUGCAUCUGGGAAAGACUUGAAGACGUUCCUUGGAGUUAUUGCUGUUAUGGUUGCCGCUAGGGAAGGCCAUGCUGACACCAUUUUUGUUCUUUUGUAUCUAAGCUGGACGUGUAGGAUCUACACGCUCCACAGGGGUGUUGGAGGAUAAAAAUAAUAAUAUCCUCCCUUCCUCUUUUAUUCUUUUAUUUUCCCAUAUAUAAACCAAUGUAUCUUCAUCAAUAA